CUAUAAUAGCCGGUUUGACCCAGGAGGGGUCCCGCUCGUUUUCGCCUCGCAUGGGGUCUAUCAGCAGUCGAGCGAACAGAGAAGGAGCUUGCUCCUUUGACGUUAGCGGCGGAGGGGAGUACACGGUGGGCAACCUACCUUAUAGUUUGGGAUAACUCCGGGAAACCGGGGCUAAUACCGAAUAAUCUGUUUCACCUCAUGGUGAAAUAUUGAAAGACGGUUUCGGCUGUCGCUAUAGGAUGGGCCCGCGGCGCAUUAGCUAGUUGGGAGGUAACGGCUCACCAAGGCGACGAUGCGUAGCCGACCUGAGAGGGUGAUCGGCCACACUGGGACUGAGACACGGCCCAGACUCCUACGGGAGGCAGCAGUAGGGAAUCUUCCACAAUGGGCGAAAGCCUGAUGGAGCAACGCCGCGUGAGUGAAGAAGGAUUUCGGUUCGUAAAACUCUGUUGUAAGGGAAGAACAAGUACAGUAGUAACUGGCUGUACCUUGACGGUACCUUAUUAGAAAGCCACGGCUAACUACGUGCCAGCAGCCGCGGUAAUACGUAGGUGGCAAGCGUUGUCCGGAAUUAUUGGGCGUAAAGCGCGCGCAGGUGGUUUCUUAAGUCUGAUGUGAAAGCCCACGGCUCAACCGUGGAGGGUCAUUGGAAACUGGGAGACUUGAGUGCAGAAGAGGAUAGUGGAAUUCCAAGUGUAGCGGUGAAAUGCGUAGAGAUUUGGAGGAACACCAGUGGCGAAGGCGACUAUCUGGUCUGUAACUGACACUGAGGCGCGAAAGCGUGGGGAGCAAACAGGAUUAGAUACCCUGGUAGUCCACGCCGUAAACGAUUGAGUGCUAAGUGUUAGCGGGUUUCCGCCCCUUAGUGCUGCAGCUAACGCAUUAAGCCACUCCGCCUGGGGGAGUACGGUCGCAAGACCUGGAAACCUCAAAAGGAAAUUGACGGGGGCCCCGCAACCAAGCGGGUGGAGCAUGUGGGUUUUAAUUUCGAAGGCAACCGCGGAAGAAUCCCUUAACCCAAGGUCUUGACAUCCCGGUUGAACUCAACUGGUUAGGAAGAAUUAAGUG
rnacentral:rRNA from 1 species